rnacentral:tRNA from 3 species
GGGCCCAUAGCUUAGAUUGGCUGGAGCGUCCGACUGAUAAUCGGAAGGUCGAGAGUUCAAAUCUCUCUGGGCCCA